UACGAAGGGGGCUAGCGUUGUUCGGAAUUACUGGGCGUAAAGGGCGCGUAGGCGGUCCUGAUCGUCGGAUGUGAAAGGCCUGGGCUCAACCUGGGAACUGCAUCCGAUACGGCGGGACUGGAGUGUGGGAGAGGUUGGUGGAAUUCCCAGUGUAGAGGUGAAAUUCGUAGAUAUUGGGAAGAACACCGGUGGCGAAGGCGGCCAACUGGACCACAACCGACGCUGAGGCGCGAAAGCGUGGGGAGCAAACAGG
rnacentral:rRNA from 1 species